rnacentral:rRNA from 1 species
UGCCCCUGAGAGACGAAAGCGUGGGGAGCAAAACGGAUUAGAUACCCGUGUAGUCCACGCCGUAAACGAUGGAUACUAGAUGUUCGGGGAUUCGACCCCCUGGGUGUCACAGCUAACGCGUUAAGUAUCCCGCCUGGGAAGUACGGCCGCAAGGCUAAAACUCAAAGGAAUAGACGGGGAUCCGCACAAGCGGUGGAGCGUCUGGUUUAAUUUGAUAGUGAGCAAUGGACCUCACCAAGGUUUGACAUCCUAUGACAACCCUGGAAACAGGGCUUCCUUCGGGCAUAGUGACAGGUGCAGCAUGGUCAGUCGUCAGUUCGUGCCGUGAGGUGUUCCGUUAAGUCGGGAAACGAACGAAACCCUCGUCGCAUGUUACAAAUUUCAUGCGAGACUGCCCGGGUCAACCGGGAGGAAGGCGGGGAUGACGUCAGAUCAGCAUGGCCCUUAUACCUUGGGCUACACAGGCGCUACAAUGUCCAGCAACCAAGGGUUGCGGUCCCGCGACGGUGAAGCUAAUCCCAUAAAGCCGGUCCAAGUUCGGAUUGGAGGCUGCAACUCGCCUCCAUGAAGUUGGAAUCGCUAGUAAUCGUGGAUCAGCCAUACCACGGUGAAUACGUUCCCGGAUCUUGUACUCACCGCCCAUCACACCAAGAGAGUUGGUAGCUCCU